AGUGCCGGGUUAAAGAAAGCACUUUGGUCUUUCUUUACUUCUAAAUCCGCCUUCUGACUAGAUUUCAUAAAUAGUCUUUCGUAUGAUCUAUGCUAGAUAGUGUAGCCCAUCUCUUCCCAUUUUAUAUGCUGCACCUUGACCUGACGUAUUGGUGUAAGGGCAUUUAGCUCACUAGUUGGCGCUCACGUGGUAAGCUGACGACGGAGGUAUACAGGCUGAUAGGCUAAAAAUGGUGAGGUUAAGCGGGGGUUAUCGAUUAUAGGACAGGCUCCUCUAGGUGGAUAUGGGGUACCGUCAAGUCCUUUGGGUUUUAAGCU
rnacentral:rRNA from 1 species